CUUUGCUUUCUAUACUGAAAUUUGAUUUAUCAGUUUGUAUUAUCCAGUCUCUGCAGCUCCUCAAGGCAGCUAUCUUUGACGAGGAAUGCAAGCCAUUACUCUCCCUUGAAAUGUAUGGUCAUAUUAUUGGCAUGUUUGAGCUGAAUAACCUGUAAGUUCAUGAUCCAUCAAACUACCACCUUCAUGUUAUUUUCAGCAUGCAUGCAAUAAACCUGAUGAUUGUUUCACUUUUCUGCAACUCUGAAGCAUACAAAAUAAUCAAUUGUAUCUUCCAAAAUGAAUGUCCUAAUAUGAGUUGCCAAGUUUAUUACUAUGGCAGGAGAGUUUUUGUUUUAUAACGUAUUCUUUGAAAUUAUUCAUUGUUUCCCCUUUCUAUUUUUUUUUUCCUCUUAAUUUAAGUCAAAUAACAAACCUCUUGAGUGUUCUUUGAAGCAGUUAAAUACGGUGGCUGCCUUUGAUGAAUUUCAAAUUUGUUCAA